AUAUCGGAACAUGUCCGGAAGUGGGGGAUAACGUACCGAAAGGUACGCUAAUACCGCAUAUGCCCUGAGGGGGAAAGGGGGGGAUCGCAAGACCUCUCGCUUUCGGAGUGGCCGAUAUCGGAUUAGCUAGUUGGUGAGGUAAAGGCUCACCAAGGCGACGAUCCGUAGCUGGUCUGAGAGGACGACCAGCCACACUGGAACUGAGACACGGUCCAGACUCCUACGGGAGGCAGCAGUGGGGAAUUUUGGACAAUGGGGGCAACCCUGAUCCGGCCAUACCGCGUGAGUGAAGAAGGCCUUCGGGUUGUAAAGCUCUUUCAGCCGGAAAGAAAUCGUGCUUAUUAAUACUAAGUAUGGAUGACGGUACCGGAAGAAGAAGCACCGGCUAACUACGUGCCAGCAGCCGCGGUAAUACGUAGGGUGCGAGCGUUAAUCGGAAUUACUGGGCGUAAAGCGUGCGCAGGCGGUUUGGUAAGACAGAUGUGAAAUCCCCGGGCUUAACCUGGGAACUGCAUUUGUGACUGCCAGACUAGAGUGUAGCAGAGGGGGGUAGAAUUCCACGUGUAGCAGUGAAAUGCGUAGAUAUGUGGAGGAAUACCGAUGGCGAAGGCAGCCCCCUGGGCUAACACUGACGCUCAUGCACGAAAGCGUGGGGAGCAAACAGGAUUAGAUACCCUGGUAGUCCACGCCCUAAACGAUGUCAACUAGGUGUUGGGAAGGAGACUUCUUUAGUACCGCAGUUAACGCGUGAAGUUGACCGCCUGGGGAGUACGGUCGCAAGAUUAAAACUCAAAGGAAUUGACGGGGACCCGCACAAGCGGUGGAUUAUGUGGAUUAAUUCGAUGCAACGCGAAAAACCUUACCUACCCUUGACAUGUCAGGAAGUUUCCAGAG
rnacentral:rRNA from 1 species